rnacentral:rRNA from 1 species
AGCGAACGCUGGCGGCAGGCCUAACACAUGCAAGUCGAACGGACCCUUCGGGGUUAGUGGCGGACGGGUGAGUAACACGUGGGAACGUGCCUUUAGGUUCGGAAUAGCUCCUGGAAACGGGUGGUAAUGCCGAAUGUGCCCUUCGGGGGAAAGAUUUAUCGCCUUUAGAGCGGCCCGCGUCUGAUUAGCUAGUUGGUGAGGUAAUGGCUCACCAACGCGACGAUCAGUAGCUGGUCUGAGAGGAUGACCAGCCACAUGGGGACUGAGACACGGCCCAAACUCCUACGGGAGGCAGCAGUGGGGGAUCUUGCGCAAUGGGCGAAAGCCUGACGCAGCCAUGCCGCGUGGAUGAUGAAGGUCUUAGGAUUGUAAAAUCCUUUCACCGGUGAAGAUAAUGACUGUAGCCGGAGAAGAAGCCCCGGCUAACUUCGUGCCAGCCGCCGCCGUAAUAC